rnacentral:rRNA from 1 species
AGAACGAACGCUGGCGGCAUGCCUAACACAUGCAAGUCGAACGAGACCUUCGGGUCUAGUGGCGCACGGGUGCGUAACGCGUGGGAAUCUACCCUUGGGUUCGGAAUAACAGCGGGAAACUGCUGCUAAUACCGGAUAAUGACGUAAGUCCAAAGAUUUAUCGCCCAAGGAUGAGCCCGCGUAGGAUUAGCUAGUUGGUGAGGUAAAGGCUCACCAAGGCAACGAUCCUUAGCUGGUCUGAGAGGAUGAUCAGCCACACUGGGACUGAGACACGGCCCAGACUCCUACGGGAGGCAGCAGUGGGGAAUAUUGGACAAUGGCGAAAGCCUGAUCCAGCAAUGCCGCGUGAGUGAUGAAGGCCUUAGGUUGUAAAGCUCUUUUACCGGGAUGAUAAUGACAGUACCGGAGAAUAAGCUCCGGCUAACUCCGUGCCAGACAGCCGAC